UUAAUUUGGCAUGUUUUCAAAGAUAAUGAAGGCGGAAAAAUUAUUAGAAAACAUUUAAUUAUAAUUUCACUAAGUUUGCUGAUACUUUGUUCGCUAUCACUUUUAUAUCUUUGAAUAAUUUAAGCGAAAUAUUAGUAAUUUUUUUAAAGCAAAUUUGACGGAAAUUUUAUAAGAAAAAAUCCGUUGUACUAAUUUGGUUCAACCCUUUUGAAUGUUUCAAGGUCGAACUUUUUUUGGAGGUUCCAGAGUCUAGCUCAUAAAACAAUCUAAAUAUAUAUAUAUAAGUGCUGCAACUUAUAAAUUGUAUAUCGAUUAGGGUUGUUUUAAUGAUGUUUUGAUAAUUUUCAAGUUCAGUUUCCACAUUCUUGUGCCACAAAGAUCUUUAGACUUUAUUCAAUAUCACCCUCCCUCCCCACCUUCCUCGCCCGGUGAGACGUUUCAAAGUUUAUUCCAUAGUUCACGAUUGUUGUUAGAUUUUAAUUAAACAACACUCGAUACUUCUAGAUGUUAUCUACUUAUAUAAAUUUCUGGAAUGUUGAACUAACCUGCGAAAUCUUAUCACGUACCAGGUUAGUACGAUUACAUUUUAUCGGAUUGUUAAAAUUGACCUUGGUUGUUGCACUUUUUCUUCUCGGUUUUUCCAAGGACUUCUACUAAAAUUUCAUUAUUUAAGUAUUAUAAAGUCGUUCUAAAGUGUAAUAAUUUAUAGAAAAUCACGGAAAAAAAUCACCACCACUCCUAACCGUUCAAUCCGUUUUCUCAACUAAUAGGUCACGAAACGUUUUUUUCGAAGGGUCGAUAAGCGGAAGAGGUUGAGAAAUAUCGUUCUAAAUUAAGUAUAAUUCGGAAUUUUACGUGUAAGUUACGAAAGAAUCUCGAAAUGUAUCGUGUCCGGCACCGUUCUAGAUGUCUAUCAUUACGCCACUUUACUCGCUACGUAUCUAAAAAGUCGCUUUCAUUGGUUUAACUUGGUGCUUAUUUAUAAAUUAAACACGAGUAAUUAAUAUUGGAGAGAGAUUAAUCGAUGUUUCACGGAAUUUCCAUUGAUGGUUAUGGCUUAUGUAAGCGUAGAUGUUGCAAGACAUCACUUAAGCUCUGACUAAAAUAAAAUACAGUAGUUCGGUGUGCUUAGCGACAACGUUGGCAUUGUCUUCUCUCGACACUGUUAAAAUAAUAAUAAUAAUAAUAACUACUUGAUAAGCAUUCGGAUUACUAGGAUUAUUCGUUCUUUAAUUACGUGUAUUAUUAAAUAUGAAGUUUUAGCGUUUUUUUUUUUUUUCCUUUCUUAAAGUGCACGCCGAGAGUUCGUUCACUCCUGCUGUGUCGUCACAGUAACCGACCCUCUCGGUUUUGGUAGCGACUAAACCAGAAAUUCGAAUGAAAAACGUCACGGAAAUUUUGUUCGUCUCUUGUAUAAUUGAUACAAAUGACCUUGUUUGUAUGUCUAAUUAUUAAAUUGCAUUACUCGUUAAAAUAUACGUAAAAUUCUAAGUAAUGUUUCCUCACUUCGUAUAUAGAUUUAUAAGUCGUUUCUCAUAGUGCACGAACGAAUUUUUAGCAUAUUUUUGCCCAUUUAAAUGCUAAUUUUAGCCUUUUUUUAAAAAAAGUUGGCCCGCUUCUUUAUGCGCAUUUAAGCAUAGUUUUUAAGCGCAAAUUAUUUUGUUUAUCGGCUACGUCUAAGUAGUAACGUUUAAAGAAUUUUUGUUUUUCUAUUUUCCUUUUUGCUUUGUCUAGUGUGACGUUUCGUCCUGUUGUAAGUACACUUGCACUCGCAGGUGACGUCAUUCGAUACCAACGUGUCUGCUGGAACGGAUGGCUUCCUUCUAUUCUCGUAAUUUCUCUAUUGCUGGUUUUACCCAGGAUUGUUGCACUGUUCUUAGGCAAAACUUUAGGAAGAAGGAAUAUU